rnacentral:sRNA from 1 species
GCAGAAUUCAGUGAAUCAUCGAAUCUUUGAACGCAAAUGGCGCUCUUGGGUUCUCCCAGGAGCAUGUCUGUCUGAGUGUCUUUUUCGUUGAAUGACAUUCGCACGAUGUGGCCGUGUUAUGCACUGGCGUUUCGUGCGGCGUUGAGGUUCGCGGCCUUGCUAUUCUUAGGCCGCGUGCCUUUAAAUGGAGGAGGAAGAUGGGCUCAAGGUCCGGUGCAGUCGCAUGCGGAUUCAGUUCAUGUGCCGCAUGUGACUGCUGCAUCGGGAAUAUUGUCCUCGGCCCUCUACCUCGUGACCUUUAGCACGACGCUCGUUCGUUCGUUGCUUGCCGCCAGACCUCAGAUCAGGCAAGGCUACCCGCUGAAUUUAAGCAUAUUAAUAAGCGGAGGAAAAGAAACUAACAAGGAUUCCCCCAGUAACGGCGAGUGAAGCGGGAAGAGCUCAAAUUUGAAAUCUCCGAUGCCUGCAUCGGCGAGUUGUAGUUGCGAGAAGCACUUUCUAGGCGGAAGGGCCCUGCCUAAGUUGCUUGGAACAGCACGUCGCAGAGGGUGACAACCCCGUCU